GAUGUGGCUCAGUGGUGGAGUGCUUGUCUGUCAUAUGCAAGGGCCUGGGUUCAAUCCCCAGCAUC
rnacentral:tRNA from 1 species